rnacentral:rRNA from 1 species
UACAGAGGUCUCAAGCGUUGUUCGGAUUCAUUGGGCGUAAAGGGUGCGUAGGUGGCGCCAUAAGUCAGGUGUGAAAUCUCGGGGCUUAACUCCGAAACUGCAUUCGAUACUGCCGUGCUUGAGGACUGGAGAGGAGACUGGAAUUUACGGUGUAGCGGUGAAAUGCGUAGAUAUCGUAAGGAAGACCAGUGGCGAAGGCGGGUCUCUGGACAGUUCCUGACGCUGAGGCACGAAGGCCAGGGGAGCAAACGGG